rnacentral:rRNA from 1 species
UUUAUGGAGAGUUUGAUCCUGGCUCAGGAUGAACGCUGGCGGCGUGCCUAAUACAUGCAAGUCGAGCGAACGGACGAGAAGCUUGCUUCUCUGAUGUUAGCGGCGGACGGGUGAGUAACACGUGGAUAACCUACCUAUAAGACUGGGAUAACUUCGGGAAACCGGAGCUAAUACCGGAUAAUAUUUUGAACCGCAUGGUUCAAAAGUGAAAGACGGUCUUGCUGUCACUUAUAGAUGGAUCCGCGCUGCAUUAGCUAGUUGGUAAGGUAACGGCUUACCAAGGCAACGAUGCAUAGCCGACCUGAGAGGGUGAUCGGCCACACUGGAACUGAGACACGGUCCAGACUCCUACGGGAGGCAGCAGUAGGGAAUCUUCCGCAAUGGGCGAAAGCCUGACGGAGCAACGCCGCGUGAGUGAUGAAGGUCUU